rnacentral:rRNA from 1 species
GAUGAACGCUGGCGGCAUGCCUAACACAUGCAAGUCGAGCGACCACACGAGGAGCUUGCGCCUCUGACGUUAGCGGGGGGCGGGUGAGUAACACGUAGAUAACCUUCCUCUAUGACUGGGAUAACUUCGGGAAACCGGAGAUAAUACCGGCUCAUAUAUUGUACCGCAUAGUUCAAUAGAGCAUGACGGUUUUCCUGUCUCUUAUAGAUGGUUCCGUGCCGGAUUAGCUAGUUGGUAAGGUAACGGCUUACCAAGGCGACGAUGCGUAGCCGACCUGAGAGGGUGAUCAGCCACACUGGAACUGAGACACGGUCCAGACUCCUACGGGAGGCAGCAGUGGGGAAUAUUGGACAAUGGGCGCAAGCCUGACGGAGCAACGCCGCGUGAGUGAAGAAGGUCUUCGGGUUGUAAAGCUCUGUUGUUAGGGAAGAAAAGAUGUGGGUGAAUACACGCAUGUCUUGACGGUACCUAAUGAAUAAGCACCGGCUAACUUCGUG